AAGAGAUUCUCCCGCCUCAGCCUCCCGAGUAGCUGGGAUCAUAGGCACGCGCCACCACACCUGGCUAAUUUUUGUAUUUUUAGUAGAGACAGGGUCUCACCAUGUUGCCCAGGCUGGUCUCAAACUCCUGGCCUCUAGUGAUCCGCCUGCCUCCGUCUCCCAAAGUGCCGGGAUUACAGGCAUGAGCCACCACACCCGGCCAAGAUAAAAGUUCUUAAUUCCAAGGACUGUUAAUCAUUUGUGACCUAAUCUAGAUUCAGUCUGGAUGGAGUCUCUGAUGUCAUUACUGAAUACCUUGUUGUCAGACAUUUUUGGAUACAAUUUAUAGUUUUUGAGCCCUUCCCAGUCAACUGAGGCCAAGGCUUUUUCCCCAAAUCUGAGACCACCUAGGCAUAGCUACCCUCGAAAAUGUACAUCAUCAGGAAAUAUGGAUCAUCUAUUUACCAAGCAAAAGAGGGAGCAUUAUUCAGUGGAAUCAAAACCUUCUUCUCCCUGAAAACCUGUUUCUAUUUUCCACGUGUGACUAAUUUUUAAUCUCGGUGACUGAGCGGUAAUGGUGUUGUCACUGAUGCUGACGAUGGGCUUUUUAAAAAGCAUAUGAUCUAUGCUGCCUUCAUAGUAUCCUUUUUUGGUUAUUGUUUCUGUGGCUUUCUGAGUAAAAUAAGCUCAGCGUCUGUGGCUCUAGCAACCCCGGCGCCAUUGUAGAGGAGAUGCCAUCUGCAUGCAAAGGUUCUGCGGUGCCUGCUCCACAGAAGGCUGCCUCUCCUGGCCAUUACUCACCACAACAGGAAAACAGCUAUCUGCCUAUGUCCAUUUGUUAAGAAGGCAGUAACAUGGCAUCUUUAAUAAACUCAAAUAAAUGCA
rnacentral:lncRNA from 1 species